ACCAACUUAUUAGCAUCGAGAAUGUCAAAGAGAUUCAGCGUCCGCGGCGUCAGCAUCUUCAGAGUGCCAAUAUUCCUGCAGGACAGCCGGACAUUGUCCGGCACAUCCAUCAUCAAGAAGGUCGCCUUCUCCCUCGGAUCCAACCCCCACCGCCUCAUCGCCUCCACAAAAUCCCUCGUCUUCGGUCCCGAUUCAAACUGCUCGUCGAAAUCUUCAACAACAAGGGCAUCCGAGGCAGCUGCCGCGCUGGCGAGGGCGGUGGAGAUGGCGAGGCGCUUCUCCUUGCGGUUGAUCUUGAUUGUCCAGUCGCGGGGCUUGG
rnacentral:misc_RNA from 1 species